UUCACAUUUUAAUUGAAUAAAUGUUUUGCAGGAGGAUGUAAAUUUUUUUAAAAAGAUUGUUGUUGAAUAGGACACAUAGGCCAAAAUACAAUCCAGAUAAAAUAACUUUGCUCUAAUAUAUCUACAUAAUUAUUUAAUUCCAUAAUAAAAAUCAUUUAUGUUAUCUGUUUGGCUAAAACAUGUCUCCUCUCUUCAACUUCCAUAUAUGUAGGCAGCAAUUCACAGGGCAAGGAUGUUGCCACGGGGCAAAGAUCCAGGUGAAGGUGGUUUCAGCUUCCACAUUCCUUAGACAGGUCCGAAUUUGGCUGAGACUUUGAGGCCAACUCAGACAUUCCCAGGUGAGUUGCUCCAGGUUGAUGGGAAUGUGAGCUCCCUUUAAGUAUAUCAAAUCUUGUAUUCCAGGGCUUCUCCCAGAAAAUGCGGUCCUCCCAGGUCCUCAUCUAAUUUAUCCCAGAGAAAGAAAAUAUGUCAGCUAUCCACAGCUAGAGAGGUCUGAAAUUAGGGACUAAUCCAUCUCAGGCCUUUGUGCUUGGGGUAAGCCCUGGUGCCAUGAGCCCUCUGCACUGCCUGCUGGCUCAGUGUCUAGGCCUGACCCUUCAGCCCCCUGCCAAUCUCUCCUGGUCCUUGCCUGAUCUGAUUCCCACCCAGUACUCUUACACACCAGGUCCCUGCCUCCAAUGACCUCUUGCCCCUUCCUAAGGAGCUAGAAUGGCCUCAGUCCCCCAUCCCACAGAUGGCUGUGGAAAUCUCACUGGGGAGGGGCACUAAUCUCUCAAACCACAUCCCACUGUGCACCUGACUUUGCAUGUUACCCGUUGCCUGCAUCUCAGGUAUGCCCUACCAGCUGGACUGGGCCUUCGGGGUUAUUGAUAUCUGCCUGAAAUAAAUUCUCACUCUGUGCCUUUAGACUCUGAACGCUAGACCAAAUAUCCUCCCCUGUAAGGGCCAAUCUCAAUAGCAGGGUUGAGUCCAUCUCAACAUCGUCCAUCUUGGUUUUGCAAUCAUUUCCAUCCUCACUGGUCUGCAAGGCUGGAGUCCAGUUGGCUUUGCAGCUGAGGCCAUCUAAGUUAGAAUGUACCCAGCUCGAAGUCACUCUAGGAUAGAACCAGAGUUUUGAAUCAUUCCAAUGCCUUUUCCUGUCUCCUGGAAAAAAAUGCAAAUGCUUGUGAUGCCUGUAUUAAUACCUAAAAAAUUAGCUGGUGCCUUGGGUAUGACCUAGAGUCACUA
rnacentral:lncRNA from 1 species